CCUGCAAAUUCAAAAUAUAUGUAUGGUUUAAUGAAGGAGGAGUAGAGGAUGCGAGGAAACCAAUUAACGUGGUACAGAAAAAGUGAUUUUUGAAACUGUAAUGAAAAUAACGUUAAAAAUUCGUAUACCCAUUUGUGUUAUACGGUG
ensembl:ncRNA F58B4.10 ncRNA